rnacentral:sRNA from 1 species
UGCGCUGAAGCUGUUCAGAAAGAGAAUCUGACUGUAGCGGAAGCUCUGGUGAAGCAAAUCGGAUUCUUAGCCGUUUCUCAAAUCGGAG